rnacentral:lncRNA from 1 species
AUCUCUUCAGACACCUUUUCCCUUCACCUUUCUGGCUUCCUAAAUUCUAUCCAGUUCCCAAGACAAACCAUAUUAUUCACACAAGCAUCAAGUGAGGGAGGGCCGUUUGCAUUGAAUCCUUUGUUUCUUUUUAAACCUGAAGCUUCCACUAAGAUUCUUCCCUUUGACUUGAACUACUUCUUUUUCUAAGGGCGCAAUUGAACAAUUCUUUCUAUAAUUGAGAAAACAGAGGCUGAAGUGAAAUGACCCAUGAGCUAGUGGCAGAGCCUAGAAGCAGUUUCCUGACACCUGCCUGGGCUCUCACUCUUACAACACCGUUAGAGCAGUCACUUAAAAAAGCACACAGGAUACACACCAGGCCCUCCCUUCCCUGAGGCAUUUUGGAAAGCUGGUAACACCUUUAGCAUCCUCUCCAGAAAUAUUGGAAAUAACCAAGUGCAGCAUAGGGCCUGGGCUUCCAAUUGCACAGCUCUCUCCAGGUGGGCGUGAGUUGCUUCAGCCACUAACAUGCAGCAGUCGGAGCUCGAGUGCAUUACAAAAUACUGCUGAGCCUCAGUGUUCUCAAAGGUGAGAUGGAGACACUAACAGCUGCUGGCAGGUUUGCUGUGAUGAUUCAGUAUGAUAAUAUAUGUAGAACACCUGGUUAGCAAAGUGUUCAACUGGUAUUGGGGCAUUUCAAGGGUUUUAAGCAAAGUCGCUCAUUCCCCAGUAAAAAUAAAACAAAGCAAAGCAAAACAAAACACGAAAACCAAAAUCCUUUGGCUGUCUGGCUGCACACAGCCCUGAGGCUACAUACAACGUGAGGUCCUCAGCCUAGGGGCGUCGCCCUUUGGAACAUGCACCCUGGGUUCCUCCCUAGCCUUUAUCACAGCACCCCUGACCCUCUAUCCUGCUCUCCCGUCCUGCAGAGUAAGAUCUAGUUGCCUGAACUCUGCUGCCCUUGCUUUGAACCAGUGCUUUGCCAGGACUGUUCAUCAAUUCUCUCCCUCCCCAUCCCCAACAGUACACACCCUCCAAUCCAUUAAGACUCAUCCUGGGGGUACACCUGGGUGGCUCAGUGGUUGAGCGUCUGCCUUUGGCUCAGGGCGUGAUCCUGGAGUACUGGGAUAGAGUCCCACAUCAGGCUCCCUACAUGGAGCCUGCUUCUCCCUCUGCCUAUGUCUCUGCCUCUCUGUGUGUGAAUCUAAUGAAUAAAUAAAUAAAAUCUUAAAAAAAAAAAAACUCAUCCUGCUGCCUCUAAUCAGGUCUCACAUCUGAUACCCUCUUGGGGAAGUCUCUUCCCAUGCACCACCAAGCCCAGGUAGGAUCAGUGUGCCCCUGCAGCAAUCACAUUCUGUGGGGGUCAUGGAGUGGGACUGUCUACUCUUCCACUACGGCUGCAUCCGUUGCCAGGAUGUAAGCUUAGCGUGGACAGGAGCUGUAUCCGAGAAGCCUGUUCACCACCACCACCACCCCCACCCUGUUCAGGGGCCUGGCACAGAGUGGAAAGUCAAUAAUAGCUGUAGGUUGAAUUGAUCAGAAUAACAAUGAGAGUGUUGGAAAAAAUAUAGAAUGUUACCACUGUAGGGUGAGCAAGACAAAUGGGCUUGUCUCAUUGUUGAGACUGAAAAUGUUGCACAAAUAACUUCAUUUCCAGUCUUUCUAGAACAAAGCAGGACUUAAAAUAAAUGAAAUAAAAUAAAAUAAACCAGCUACCAGGUGGAGCAAGGGUAUGACAGCCAAUGCUGCUUAUCUGUCAGGAAACAGUAAAAGAAUCCAGGCUUGUCAAUGCAAGGUGCUUCGAGCAGGGGUGGGGAUGGGUUUAGGCAGGGUCUCUUUGAACUGCACAGAGAAAGCCACCUCUAAAUCCUCGUCGCUGAAAAGCCAGAGCUUUCCUUUCCUAGUGCCUAUAGAAUGCAUUAGCAUAAGCAUUGUCAUGUAAUGAGUUGUCAGGCUGAAGAUGUAAUUAUUGCAAAGCGGAGAAAAAUUUCAAAAGUUGAGCUUUAAUGGAAAAAUGAGAUGGGAGCUCUGGUGUUCAAGUAUAAAACAAACUUUUUAAUAUUCAUCCCUCCUGCACUCUUUGAAAUUCACCUUCAGAGCUCCAAGGUGAACAAGGGGAAAAAAGUUCAAUAAUUUUCAAAUCCUAAUUAUAAUUCAUCACAGGUGAUUAAACAAAGCUGUGGAUAUUUGUUGCUCACCACUUUUCCCUCUUACAGUGGACAUUUAAAUUUAAUUAAAAAGGGAAUUGUUUUUUUUUUAAUGAUGCCAGGUUACCUGUGCUAUUUUUUAUCUGUUUCUCUUUCUCUGCAUAGAGACUCAAUUCUUUCAACCUCCACUGCUACUAGAGAGAAAAUACUGCAUACAUAUUAAGACCCUUUUAUUUCAAUGGAGAGCCUAUUAGUUCAUCCACCUUCAGGGUCUCCACACUUCCAGAGGGAGCCCUUGAAAAUCCACACGCUGCCUUCCCAGGUCCCCAGCAUUUAGCCAGGGCAAUCUCUCAAAUUCCUGAGUUGCAGUUUCUUUAUCUGAAAAAUGGGGAUGAUGAUAAUAACGAGAGAUCACUUGGCUAUCCAAAGUGGGUACCCUGGGAAACAAAGAUGUUUCCUUCUUUGGGUAGCUUAUAGAACUGAGGCUUAGGAUGAGAUCGAGUAACCUAUUAUUAAGUGUUCUCCAAAUGUGGGUUGUUAUUUUUGUUAUUGAUAUGCAUUUGUUUGUGUAUUCACUCAAUGGACAUACCGGAUUCCUGUUUUUGUGUACCAAGUGCUAAUUUCUAAGGAUUGAAAGAAAGGAAACAGACUAUAUGCCAUCUUUCACCAUGAGGAUUGACCCAGUUGGGACAAAGAGACAUGAGAACAGUUUUGAUUCUGUUUGAUCCUCCCAGAAAUGCUCUGAAUAGGAGAUAUGAUUAGGAAUAAGUCUUUGUAGCUCUGGAGCUGUACGACUUUGGAAAAGUCCUGAAACAUUUCGGGACUCAAAAUUCACUGCAUUAAAAAAAAAAAAAAAAAA